rnacentral:rRNA from 1 species
AUUGAACGCUGGCGGCAGGCCUAACACAUGCAAGCCGAGCGGAUGAAGGGAGCUUGCUCCUGGAUUCAGCGGCGGACGGGUGAGUAAUGCCUAGGAAUCUGCCUGGUAGUGGGGGAUAACGUCCGGAAACGGGCGCUAAUACCGCAUACGUCCUGAGGGAGAAAGUGGGGGAUCUUCGGACCUCACGCUAUCAGAUGAGCCUAGGUCGGAUUAGCUAGUUGGUGGGGUAAAGGCCUACCAAGGCGACGAUCCGUAACUGGUCUGCGAGGAUGAUCAGUCACCCUGGAACUGAAACACGGUCCAUGCGCCUACGGGAGGCAGCAGUGGGGAAUAUUGGACAAUGGGGGAAAGCCUGAUCCAGCCAUGCCGCGUGUGUGAAGAAGGUCUUCGGAUUGUAAAGCACUUUAAGUUGGGAGGAAGGGCAGUAAGUUAAUACCUUGCUGUUUUGACGUUACCAACAGAAUAAGCACCGGCUAACUUCGUG